rnacentral:rRNA from 1 species
AUGAAUCUCCUUGCCUGGAACUAUCGAGGGCUGGGGUUGGACUCGACAGUGGGCGAACUGAGGGACCUUAUUAGGUCUCACAACCCAGCGAUGGUGUUCCUUUCAGAAACUAAAAAGUCAGCUAGAGCGAUGGAAAGGUUGAAGUGGAGUUUGGGAUUCACAAGUGGUACUGCGGUGAGUUGCAAGGGGAGAAGUGGCGGUUUGGCUUUGUGGUGGAGGGAGAAU